UACGUAGGGGGCUAGCGUUGUCCGGAAUUAUUGGGCGUAAAGGGCUCGUAGGCGGUUGGUCACGUCGGGAGUGAAAACUCAGGGCUCAACCCUGAGCGUGCUUCCGAUACGGGCCGACUAGAGGUAUGCAGGGGAGAACGGAAUUCCUGGUGUAGCGGUGGAAUGCGCAGAGUAUCAGGAGGAACAGCCGGUGGCGAAGGCGGUUCUCUGGGCAUUACCUGACGCUGAGGAGCGAAAGCAUGGGGAGCGAACAGG
rnacentral:rRNA from 1 species